UCCAUUGCAUACUGGAACCGGGUGGUCCCUGUAUUAAGCCUAUGGGAGUGAGAGAAUUCAGUAGUCCACGGGUUAACAACAUAAUACCCGCGAGGCUAGACUAGACUGCGCGCGCUGGCGCUAGCGCGCUCGCUGCUUAAUGCAGUAAUAGCGUAUAUAGCCAGGCGGCCAUGCCAUGCCAGGCCUUGUACGUAUGUACUACUAAGUUACGUCUACGGUAGAUCGACUGAAUUCAACCAGAAGUUGCCGGUUGCAAUCGCGAGGAUUGAAGCGUGUUCUUCGGCAACACUGAGGCAGCAUUUGAGAAGAAAUAUCCCUCAGGCUCAGCUCACCAAUUGAAGGACAAGGACAAGGGUUCUAUCCAGAGUUUCCAAGCACAAUUUUUGUAGGGUGUUUUCUGCAGCUGUGACCCAUGCAUACACACCCUAGCCUCCAGCACAGCAUUGACCACCCAGCUAAUCUCAUUCAGGUUCCUUCAUACAUAUGUU
rnacentral:lncRNA from 15 species